rnacentral:rRNA from 1 species
CGGCGACGGGUGAGUAACACGUGGAUAACCUACCUAUAAGACUGGGAUAACUUCGGGAAACCGGAGCUAAUACCGGAUAAUAUAUUGAACCGCAUGGUUCAAUAGUGAAAGACGGUUUUGCUGUCACUUAUAGAUGGAUCCGCGCCGCAUUAGCUAGUUGGUAAGGUAACGGCUUACCAAGGCAACGAUGCGUAGCCGACCCGAGAGGGUGAUCGGCCACACUGGAACUGAGACACGGUCCAG